CUACAACAGUUUAGUCAGACCCCACUUGGAAUAUGCGGUACAGUUUUGGUCUCCCCACCAUGCAAAGGAUAUUGCUAAAUUAGAAGGUGUUCAGCGUCGGGCAACGAAAAUUAUCCCUUCCUUGCGCAACAAAUCCUACGAAGAAAGGCUUUCUACCCUUAACAUGUUCUCUCUUGAGAAACGUCGCCUCCGAGGAAAACUGAUCGAAUGUUUUAAAAUACUUAAUGGUUUCACGAAUGUAGACAGAUCAACAUUGUUUAUGAUCGAUGACACUUUGCGCACGAGGAACAAUGGCGUAAAACUCAGAUGUAGACAAGUAAAUUCAGACUGCACCAAAUUUUUCUUCACCAACGUUGUAGUGCGAGAAUGGAAUAAGCUCCCAUCAUCAGUGGUCCAGUGUAACACGAUUGACUCCUUCAAAAAUAAGCUCGACCGUCACUUCCUUCAACUUAAUAAUCAACUAGAGUAGAACUGCAACGUUUUGGAGUCUUCUGAUUAAUGUAAAAUCACUUAGGUUUAAGGACAGACCACCAAGUCUGGACCAUGGGGUCUGUGUGGUCUGAUUUUCUAUGUAAAUCUAUGUAAAUCCACUACUACAGUCCCUUGCCGUUCCCAUGUAGCACCAGGGUUGGCAGGUCCAGGGAGAGGUUCGUACAGGUUGUUCUACACGACGUAUACUUGUUACUGGUCAUCCCUGGCUCUGGUGGGGUUUACAGGUCCAGGGAGAGGUUCAUACAGGUUGUUCUCCACGACGUAUACUUGUUGCUGGUCAUCCCUGGCUCUGGUGGGGUUUACAGGUCCAGGGAGAGGUUCAUACAGGUUGUUCUCCACGACGUAUACUUGUUGCUGGUCAUCCCUGGCUCUGGUGGGGUUUACAGGUCCAGGGAGAGGUUCAUACAGGUUGUUCUCCACGACGUAUACUUGUUGCUGGUCAUCCCUGGCUCUGGUGGGGUGUACAGGUCCAGGGAGAGGUUCAUACAGGUUGUUCUCGAUGACAUAGUCUUGUGUGGGUGUGGGUGGGUAAAGCUGGUGGUGAUACUGGACCCCCAUGCCUGUUGAUCAGUUG